rnacentral:tRNA from 1 species
GCCGGGAUGCUGGAACUGGUAGACAGGCUAGAUUGAGGUUCUAGUGCCCCUUAAAGGCGUGCAGGUUCAACUCCUGUUCCCGGCA